rfam:Triticum aestivum genome assembly, contig: Triticum_aestivum_CS42_TGACv1_scaffold_002397_1AL
AUUAUACUCCCUUCGUCCCAAAAUUCUUGUCUUAGAUUUGUUUAAAUAUGGAUGUAUCAAGUCACGUUUUAGUAUUAGGUAUAUCCGUAUUUAGAUGAAUCUAAGACAAGAAUUUUGGGACCGAGGGAGUAUGUG